AGGAAAGCAGGGGAUCGCAAGACCUUGCGCUCUUGGAGCGGCCGAUGUCUGAUUAGCUAGUUGGUGAGGUAAAGGCUUACCAAGGCGACGAUCAGUAGCUGGUCUGAGAGGACGACCAGCCACACUGGGACUGAGACACGGCCCAGACUCCUACGGGAGGCAGCAGUGGGGAAUUUUGGACAACGGGGGAAACCCUGAUCCAGCCAUGCCGCGUGAGUGAAGAAGGCCUUCGGGUUGUAAAGCUCUUUCAGCCGGAACGAAACGGUCACGGCUAAUACCUGUGAUCACUGACGGUACCGGAAGAAGAAGCACCGGCUAACUACGUGCCAGCAGCCGCGGUAAUACGUAGGGUGCAAGCGUUAAUCGGAAUUACUGGGCGUAAAGCGUGCGCAGGCGGUUUUGUAAGUCAGAUGUGAAAUCCCCGGGCUUAACCUGGGAACUGCGUUUGAAACUACAAGGCU
rnacentral:rRNA from 1 species